CGGGAAAGCUGAAUUAGAGAUUGGCUUUCCUUAUGUUUAAUGAAAAUGUUUAAUGGAAAAUUUGGAGUUAUUUAUGUCUCUAAGUACUGAAGCGAAAGCGCAAAUUAUCUCAGACUAUGGCCGUAAUAAA
rnacentral:ncRNA from 1 species